UUUUAUGGAGAGUUUGAUCCUGGCUCAGGAUGAACGCUGGCGGCGUGCCUAAUACAUGCAAGUCGAGCGAACGGACGAGAAGCUUGCUUCUCUGAUGUUAGCGGCGGACGGGUGAGUAACACGUGGAUAACCUACCUAUAAGACUGGGAUAACUUCGGGAAACCGGAGCUAAUACCGGAUAAUAUUUUGAACCGCAUGGUUCAAAAGUGAAAGACGGUCUUGCUGUCACYUAUAGAUGGAUCCGCGCUGCAUUAGCUAGUUGGUAAGGUAACGGCUUACCAAGGCAACGAUGCAUAGCCGACCUGAGAGGGUGAUCGGCCACACUGGAACUGAGACACGGUCCAGACUCCUACGG
rnacentral:rRNA from 1 species